AAGCACAAGCAAAAGAAUUAAAUGACCAUUUAAAUUCUGUAAAGCAAAAAAUUGAAAAUAAAGCAGCUAAACAAAAGA
rnacentral:sRNA from 1 species